AUCAGCUCCACUGCUUCAAGAGAGGAACUACAUCAGAGAAUUAAGGGAGCUCCUUGCAUUGGGUUCUAAGCAGUUCAGUCCCAGCUGUCUGGUUGUAGCAUGAGAUUCUUACUGGUAGAGCUUAGUAUCCAUCUGCUAAUAAAGAGACAAACAAGAAUCGUCCCCGGAUGCCUGUGCCAACUGAACAUUUCACCAAAAACAAUUAAAUCAAAUUUUUCUUGCGAAUUGUUAAAGUAGCUUGAGGCAGUGUCACUUACAUGGCCUCAAAUAAUGUCUCCAGUGUUGCAGAAACAACUAUUUUCUCUCUGCACUAGAUGAAGAAGGGCUGGGUUUAUUUUUUCCCCUUCUCUUCCCUGAGCAAAUCCCCAUAACAAAUAAAGUUACACUUCAAGACCGGAUUACUCAGACUAUUGGCUUUGCAUGCCAAUGUUUAAGUAAAAAUGAUACUUCUGAGAAUUCAAAUAAUGUUUAAGUAUUUCCAGGCUACAGUUCUACUUGCAUUUGUCUUGGCACCAGCUCACCAUGAAUGUGUCAGGUUUUCAAAAAGAUGACUGUUUAGUCAUAGUUGGAUGUCUUCAUCCAAUGUCUCACAUGUGCUGAAUAUGUUUCUAUUGCCUUCUUGCCUACUGUCAUUUGGUAAAGAGUUCACUGCGCCAUUAGCUAUACAGUUUUUUGAUAGGAGCCUGCAAUCUCUUCUAGAAAUGGUCUUAUUUUGUUUAAGAGAGAAAAAUUUAAAAAGAGAAUGAAUGAGAGAGACAAAAAGAGAAAGCUUAAAAAUUCAAUAAAAUACAAAAGAUGUUACAAAAUUUAUGAUAAUGUAAAUAAUCGAUCAUUUAUCAACUAACUCUCCCAAAAGCUUCAGCCCUGGCCUUGUUUUCAUUUCAAGUGUGUUCAUUUUACAAGUGUCAGAAAAUAACAUUUUGUAAAUGACACAGUAAAUUACAUUAUCUUAAAGAUUACACCCUUAAUUUUUUUAAACUCUCAAAAACCAUUCCUUCUUUUCUCCCCUCCACCCCAGUUCUAUGUCUUCUAAGGUACAUUAUCAGAUGAACAGAAAAGUUCACAUUUCUUGUAGAUACCUGUUUGUACUUUUUGAUGAUUACCUACCUGAAUAAAUAUAUUAUAGUCCAUACAUCUAUCAUCUAAGAAAAUAUAAGAGGAGACACUGGUAACACAUAAACUAUCUUAACAUUAUUUGAAGCUCAAAAAUUUCUUUUUUCAUAAAAGAAACUAUUUCAGGCCUUGUGGUCAAAACAGUGUGGGAGAUAUUUUAGGGUACUCAAGGGUGUCUUUAAAUUUCAUCAUUCAUUUCAUGAUUUGGGAGAUAAUAGUGCUAAGAUUCUCUGUGGUGGCGGGUAUGGAUUCAACGGUGCAUGAUUGCUGUCUCUUACUUGACAAGAUUUCCAGCUAUAAAAUAUGUGAGUAAAUGAUGUUGGAUAUUAUACAAUGGAUAUUAAAAAAUUGGAAGGGAACUCUGAUUUGAGAUGUGAUUAUUUUUCAGCCUUUAAAAAUAUAUAACUAACAUUUUUUUUCCUUUGUUUUUUCCUCCCAGGUUCAAGUGAUUCUCCUGCCUCAGCCUCCUGAAUAGCUGGGACUAAAGGCAUGCACCACCAUGUCCAGCUAGUUUUUGUACUUCUUUUAGUAGAGUCGGGGUUUCACCAUAUUGGCCAGGCUGGUCUCAAACUCCUGACCUCAUGAUCCACCCUCCUCAGCAUCCCAAAGUGCUGGGAUUACAGAUGUGAGUCACCGUGCCCGGCCUACUGACAUAUUUUUAAUAAAUAUUUCUUAAUAAUCAUAUAUAAUGCUCUAAAAUAUUUCACUAGGGGUUAGGAAGUUAUUUUUAUGUGAAUAAAAUUCCUCCUGGAUAAAUAUAUGUCUUCUUAUUUUGCCCUCCGUUGAUACUGGGGACAACUAUCUACUGUGGUUUUGAAAUACAGGUUUAUGAGUUUUAGGGAUAUAUUAUUUUGUUUUUAUAUGCACAGGGGAUGCCAAGAUAUUUAAAAUUCCUGGAAGAAAGCAAUAUUAUAGAUA
rnacentral:lncRNA from 10 species